rnacentral:rRNA from 1 species
AUGUCAAGAGUAGGUAAGGUUCUUCGCGUUGCGUCGAAUUAAACCACAUGCUCCACCGCUUGUGCGGGCCCCCGUCAAUUCAUUUGAGUUUUAACCUUGCGGCCGUACUCCCCGGGCGGUCGACUUAACGCGUUAGCUCCGGAAGCCACGCCUCAAGGGCACAACCUCCAAGUCGACAUCGUUUACAGCGUGGACUACCAGGGUAUCUAAUCCUGUUUGCUCCCCACGCUUUCGCACCUGAGCGUCAGUCUUUGUCCAGGGGGCCGCCUUCGCCACCGGUAUUCCUCCAAAUCUCUACGCAUUUCACCGUUACACCUGGAAUUCUACCCCCCUCUACAAAACUCUAGCUUGCCAGUUUCAAAUGCAGUUCCCACGUUAAGCGCGGGGAUCUCACAUCUGACUUAACAAACCGCCUGCGUGCGCUUUACGCCCAGUAAUUCCGAUUAACGCUUGCACCCUCCGUAUUACCGCGGUUGCUGGCACGGAGUUAGC